CGGCUCUCAAUGAAAGGUGGAACAGAUUACUUAUAAGUGACAGAUCGGGACCAGUUCCCGCACCAGGCACUCACAGAAGGCAAAGACGCUGAUUGAUGCCAACCAAAUGCAUUAGCAGAAAAGUGGUGGUCAAAUGGUAGGGUAGAUAUCAAUAUUUAUCAACUUGACAACUUUCCUGAGUGGAGGCCACUGUUAAGGUUAUAACUGACGGCUGUGGUCCACGGCCACAAGAGGGAUGAGGAUGGAGUUUGUUUUGUUUUGUUGUUUUUUUAAAAAAAAGGGGGGGGUGGAGAAGAAAUUGCUAUUAGAAAACCCUCAGGACAGAAGUGCCAACACAGUAUGCCAAAAAGAGAAAAUGUAAGGCGAAAGCUUAGAAAAUAUUAAUACAAGAAAGAACAACAUCUACACAGGAAAAAUGGGGUGGAAUGAAAGAAAAAUGGUAAUUGAAGCCCCCAUGCCUUCAGACACACUGAAGUAUGAAAAAACGAAUAAAAUGGUAGAUGAGAAAUACAUAAAAGAAUAUAGACCCUGUCACUGAUGUAUACAGUGCAAGAUAGAUAGGUGUGCUUAGGGACAAAAUAGAGAAUCGUCAUUGCAGAAAAACUACUUUCAAAAAGUAGAGGACAAGGGACAGAAAAGGCAACUGGAACCCAAGAACAAAUGGAUUCAUUUGAGAUGCAAUUUUUCAACGUGUUCCAUGUGUCAUUAAGUGAAGUACAGAAAUUGUUUCCAUCGUUCUGGGAUGGUGAAAGGUGGAGCCUCCAAAACACCGGCUGUAUGUUCCACCGCCACAUCCUUGCUGCGAUCUACCUAUAAAGGAGUCCGAUCAGCAGGGGUAGGCUGGAUGGGUCUGUCUCUAUGUGGGUGGUGCGAAUCCAGGCCGAGGCUGGGCUUUGGGUUUUAAAAACCUCAUCUCAGUACCGCAGCCACACCUAAUUCCCUACUGCCUCCGAGCCUUCCAGCCAUGUCCCAGUUCUGUCAUUUUCCAUCAGAAAAACAUCCAGUGCCUCUCUGAAUGUCUUGAUCACCUCCUUCUUUGGGACAGGACUGGAAAUCCUAACACGCAAUUCAAAGAAGUAAGAAAAAUACACUGAGGAAUGGGGGGUGGGGGGUGUGAAGAUGAGGGAGGUUAAGUCAAAGAAAGCCAAGUGAGGGAAGAAACAGAUUUCCCCAAAGGGUAGGUUCUUUUGUUCUUUGCAACACUGUUCCUGGUAUUCCAGGUUGCUUUUUUGGAGGUAGGUAAACCCACCCUAGAAGGCUUCUGGUCUUGGGACUGAUAGGUUAGGGAGACGCUUAGUGAAUAAAGUGAUUGUCCGUGAAAGUGUGACGACCUGAGAUUGAUCGCUAACAUCCAUGUAAAAUGUUGAAUGUAUGGCAUAGACCUGUAACCCCAGUGUUGGGGAGGAAGGGACAGGUAGAUAUCUAGGGCUUGCUGCCCAGCCAGCCUGGCCUAAAAUAGCAAGGUUCCAACGAGAGAUCUUAUCUAAAAAAAAAAAGGGUUGGACGACACAGGAGGAACAACAAAUAAGGUUAACCUCAGCCGCUGUCCAUCUGAGAGAUGUGCACACAUAUGCUCAUACACUUGACAAACACACACACACAUACACACUUGCCAACCCCCUCCCCUGCACACAAACAUGUACAUAUAUGAAAAACUCUACAAACCUGAUGAUGACUUUGGCUUUGGAAUACUCACACACUAACUAACAAAGCAGAGUAGAGCCUUCUCUCUGUCUCUGCCUAGUCGGUCGACAUCAUGAAACAUAAGCAACAAACUCCCUGCUUGAGAACCAUGCAAUUGAGUUAAAAAAAUGUUUUUUGUAAAAACAAAACAAUCUCAUAAUGAUGUAAAUAAGUAUAUGAUUUUUGUCUUGGGCCAUAUUUAGCGUGACUCUCAGCUGAAGGAGGCCUGUUGGACCCCUGAAACGUUUCACUCCCUUAGGGAUAGCUGUAUGUACGUGCAUGAGUGAGAGAGUUCUUUAGUAGCAAUGGGCUAAAGGCAAAGUAGAGACAGGGUAUCACCAUUUUCCCACUUACAGUGCAGAACCCAGGAAGAGAACACUACAAUUGGCCAGACUGUGAGCUAUUGAGAUGCCCAGGGCAGUAUCUCUUUAAGCACCAGACUUGCUUAUGGUUCCCCUUGAAACUUCCCUAAAGGCCAUGUUAUAAAGGCAAAUGGCGUAUCUGGGAUAUGCCAAGAAUUACAUGAAAGAAAAAAGGAAAUUAAACAGGGGACAGAAGGUGGAAGGUAUAAGGUAUGUCCAUGAGCCACUGACUAUUGUGGGUUAUUACCACUGGCUUCAUCUUUACUCUGUGAGCUCUGCUGGGUAACCACAGUUUCAGAAUGGGCCCUCCUUAGGAAAGAGAGCUGAGGUGUUUCCAUAGUGAUUGGCAUAGUCAAAAUGCCAGUAACAUAGGUAAGAGGGAGGCUCUAGGGCCAGAGAAAGCAGUCAGGCAAAGCAACACAGAUGCUGAUGAUGGCGGUCAGACAUAACCCAUGGGAGGAUGAAGGAGACAGAUAAAGCAAAAUAAAAACACUCAAGGUGGAAAAAAAGAGGGUAAAAGGGACACCAGGAUAGUGUCAAUGAGCUGUGACCUUCCCUCCUAAUUCUGUAUAUCCCCUGGUGCUGAUAUCUGUAGAUGACAUUAGAACCCCAAAAUACUUUAUUAAUCCUGCAUGAUACAGCAAGUUCAGACUUAUCUCUUAUAACAGCUUCUCCACCAACAGGGGAAAUGUGACUUUCCUUUCAGCUUGCCUGUGAGAAUAAAGACCCUAUGACAAGUGGCAGGCCCAGUGCAGUGCCCCAUGUACUGUGAAGACUCCCCGACUAAUAGACUCAUUACUGUUAUCAAUUUUUUUUUCUUGGAUGUGUCCAGGGAGGUAAAAAAGGGAGUGAGGCCCGGUGGGCAGUGGGGGAAAUAUAAGCCAUUUAGGGUUAUAUUAGUUAUUUUCAAAAUAACUACCUUGUUAUUUUAGAUCAAGGGCUUUUAAAGAUGUAUGCUAAGCUGUCCUGAAGGAGUUCUUCCAUGGAAACUAAUUAAACAAUCUAGAAUGGGCUGUAAUGAAUGGCUUGCAAGUAAAGACAUAUAUGAGGAUGAAUGGGGAAGGAUUCUGAGCUAAUGAGCUUUACAGAUAUUGGUCCCAGCCAGUUUGGGGAAGAAGCUAUUCCCAGAAGGGAAAAGACUCAUCUCUUGACAGAGCCUCCAUUCUUUAGGCCAGUAAUGUGUCACAAAGUGCACUCAGAUGGGAAAAGUGUCUGCCCUGUGAUGACACAUGCUCUUAACUUCCCAAGAGACGUCUGAGGAAUUGAGAAGUGUGGAUUCAUGUGUGCCUGCAUUUGCACACACGUGAACAUACGUGGAACACCACAGCUGCUGUGCUGUGUCUGUGAGCUUUGGCUGUCACUGGGACAUUUCCCAGGAGCCAAGAAAGCUGCUAAAGCCCAAGACUCUGAUCUGUUGAACUCUCUAACCAAAAUGAAUGUCCUAAACCCUGCAUCUACUGCGUCCAUCGGAAUUACUCCUCAUUUUGCUUGACAUUGGGUAAAAGAAUUUAUGGAGAAAGGAAACUGGGAAAACUCAGUCAAAGUCUAAGAAAUGGCUCAAACUCAGCCUUUCCUCUAGCCACAGCCUCUUAAGCGUCCAGUAAGGCAGGAGGAAAAGAUGUCCCUCACCCAGGUCCUCCAACUGCAGGCAGGGGUCUAUGUGUUCUAAAUUAACAGAGUGAUUUGGCUAAGCACAUGAAUACAAUGGAUCCCCUUGCAAACACCUCCUCAUAUGAUGACAGAUCUCCUCAGACCAUGCUCCCAAGCUCUAGCCAGCGUCUCUCAAAUCCCAGAAGACGAGGAAGGGAAAAAAUUGCCUUUCGCUAGGCGGAACAGGUCAUUUGUCUUUCGGCUCAUUUUGUGUUUCUGCAUAAAUCCCGCAUCAGCCUGUUCCUGCUCCCACUUGCCAGUGAGCAGUUUUUAAUUAUCAGGAAAAUGGUAUUUAGUACAAUGAAUCACCAGACAGUGAACAGGGAUUCAAGUCAGCAGCAGAGGCAGGCACAGCCAACCCCUGGGAGACAGGUUUCAGAAGAUGUUCUCUGGUUGUGAAUGUUGGGAAAUAUUUUUAGAGGUGAUGAUGGCAAUAUUAGAUUAAUAGAUCCCCAUAAUAUGUGGCAUUUUAUAGUGACGGUGUGGCCUUCACACAAUUGUUAUUAAUAGGAAUACUUUAGAAGUGUUAGCUAUGUUUGUGUUUCCGUUUUUCAUAGGUUCCAUAUCUUUGGCAUAAAAGGGGUAAAUGUGGACUUAAAUGUCUGAUUGUUAGUGCUUUAUUAAUAAGCAUACCCCCAGAUUUCUCAUCCCCUAGUUCACAGAUCUCCAAUAAAAAUCUAACUUGUAAACACGUUCAUGAAGAGCAUGGCUUCACUGCUGUCUGGUGCCUUCUCGUGUGACACCAAAUAUUUCUGGAAGCAGAAGACAUACUUUCCUACUGUCAGAGGCUCUGUACCAGAAGAUCAACCAGAAGUGGCUGAAGUGAGCUCUGGGGGAUACUAGAAGUCUUAUGUGGGGGUAUUUGAAAGGUUAUGGAGACAUUUACAAGCACUAGGAGUUCAGGGCAAAACAGAAAGCUCACAGUUGUAAAUUGCAGGUGACAUGUGGAGACUAAGAACUGGGGGAGACACCCACUGCCCUUGUCUAGGCACAGUGCGCAUUCUGAGUUUAGAACUAAUAGCAGUAGCAAGCACAUUUGCAGUCCACUUGUGACAACUGAUUCUAGAACUUGAGAAGUUCCAGCAAAAACCAGCUGGCCUCUAGCUGGGAGAGGACUGCUAGAAUCCCACAGGGUAGUGUCAGAGAAUGAGGGGACUCGGUUGUUUUCAAUCAUUAAUAUACCUGUGUCCCAGCAGGCUUUGAUGGUGUCUUAAGGAGAUGGGGAAGUUGGCCUGUUUGUACCUCAUUCUGGAUCCAAGAGACUCACCCAACUUCACCCAGGCGUUUGAGCAUGAAAUCAGAGCUACUUAGAAACAUGUGCAGCCCUUAAGGGACCAUCUCUGUUACUGUGCCUUAGAACUCUGAGCAUCCUUCCUUCUGCUUCAACACUGCUAGACAUCCAACCGGCACUGGGAUCUAUGGAAAAGCCAUGCUCUCGGGGCUCUUCACGUGAUUGAGAAGUGGAAGAGGACAUGGAGAAGAACAAAGCUGGGCAGUGAGGAAGCAGUUCACACUCGGGGAGUGGACUGUAAACACUACAGAGAUUGGAGGAGGCAGAAGGUCAGGGAUGCCACUCUUCAAGCAUCCAUUGCUACAAGUUCUCAAGCCUUCACCUCAUGAUAGAGGAACCUCUUGAUGAACAGCUUCUGUGGACCAGGCAACAUACUAUCACUGAGACGCUGGCCACACCCAACCCGGCAGGCUGCUCUCUCCUCUGCACAGGUGCUUUGUGGAAUGCGUCCUUGAAACCAGGUCUCUAGGACAGUCCAUGACUCCGCGUAGGUUCUUACCAGCACAGAGAGCAGAGUCGAUGUAAACGUUUAAGACAGCCAAGUGUUUAAAAUGUGUGUUAUUAGUAUUCUUCAUCAGUAGUGCACUGGGAGUAAGCAUGUGAUCAGCUCGUGUUUUUUUUUUUUUUCCACACAAAUAAAUAGUAAGCGGCAUGUCUCCCUAUUUGUACUGCUUCCGUUUUGUUUCAACCUAAACACUCGGUUCCAGAUUUAGCCCGCUAACAUUUUGUCUUGCAGAUUUCAAAUUAGCAUUCAAAGCUGUUGGGUAGCUCUGAAUUUUGAUUCUGUCUUUUAUGGCGUUACUUCUGCUUCCCAACUGUUACCUACAAACUCGAUCAGCAACCCCACGUUGGUGUCUGACUCGUGAAGUUUAAAAAAGCAGUCAAACAGUCGAGGACUGAAUAGGACAAGCGCUGGAAUAACGUCAGGGACCUCUCUCCUAAGGGAAUGACAGUCACUAACUCACUUUCUCUCCAUAUGAAGACAGUCUGUUUCUAGUUAACAAUGCCUUCCAUUAGGAGACCAUGAGAUAUUUUUGCCAAAAAACAAACAUUCACCACCCAUAAUUCUUGAAUUUACUAAAUAUAUGGUCUAAUUAAAAGAGACAAGGUCCCAUAAUUAUUUUCUUAAUUACUUCUUUUCUCUUCCUAAUGAUGACAGAAUUCAAAUUCCUAUUCCCAGACCCAUGUGAGUCACAGUGCCUCUGGGCAUCUCUCAGGGCCUGAACUCUGCCCUCUCACUGCCCCUUUGCUUGGUCAGAAGAUUAGAGUGGUUUCCACUCACAAGUGUUAUAGUUAGUUUUAAUGUCUACUUGCCACAUAUCAGAAUCACCUGACUAAGGAGCCUCCCUUGGAAAGCAUCCUGGUUUCUUUGAUUGAUGUGCGGAUGGGUGUUACCUUCUGGUAUUGGUGCAGAUUAAAAAAGGGUGUGGCAGAGAAAAUUUAUUUCACCUACCUUUUGCUUGCCUGGCUUCCCUCUUGCCAUUGAGUUAAUCUGUCCCAUUGCUGCUGCUGAUUCCUAUGCUAAUGUUAGGACCAAUGUGCCCAGGUUUUCUUUGGGACUAGGGACCAGCACUUCUCCAGGAACCUUCAGAGCUUCUAGUGCCAGACUGAGACUAAGUGCUGAGUGUUCCAGCCUCAAGGACAGAGUACUUACCAGGUUCUCAGCUUCCAGGUAUGAUUCUCUUGUUGUCUGUCUGUCUGUCUGUGUGAUAGUGAAUGUGUGUCUCUCUGUGUAUGUCUGUGUGUAUCUCUGUAUGUGUGUGUGCAUGUUUGUGAGAGUGUGUGUGUGUGUCUGCCUGUGUGUGAUUAUUCAUCCCAUUGGUUCUGUUACUCUGACAGACAAAUACUCUGAACCCUGACAAAUACAGGUCCAUACCUCAUUUAUGCUUUUUCAAAACAUGAAAGUAGAGACUCUAAUUUAUAUCUUCUACUUGAGGUAGUUUUCUUAGGACUGUUUUCCUAAAGCCCUUAAUCCAUUCACAAGCCCCAAUCUCCCUUUAUCUCCAUCCUCUUGGCUCUCACGCAGUUUGGAAAUUAGGAAUGACCUAAGUUCCCUGGACACCUGUUUGUAUUUCCUAAAAUGCCAACUAUUCUCCUCCGUGCAUAACUAUUCUUUUUUAGUCUACCUCCUGACACCUACGUCCCGAUGUUGGAUUCCUAAGCCUCCCUGCUUCACCUAGAUCAAACUGCCCAUCAUCUGUAAUCAUCCAAUAGUUUAUGAGAAUUGGACCGAGAACCAUGACGACACUGUCUACACAUUCCUGAGUGUGAGAAGCUUAUGCCCCUUUCUAUCUGCCCUUGACCAUGAACCCCAGCUCACUAAUUCUUCAUCAGACUCACUGACAACACAUACAGCACAUCGUCUUGCCAGAUUCUCCUCCAGCAAGUGUCUUUCCACCAAUCCAAAUUCCCCUUUACAUCUCUGUUCACUAACUUCUGGGGCAGCGGUUCUCAACCUGUGGGUUACAGUCCCUUUUGGGGAGGGGAGUCCCAUACCAUUUAUCUUGCAUCUCAGAUGUUUACAUUACAGUUCAUAACCGUAGCAAAUUUACAGCUAUGAAGUAGCAACAAAAAUAAUUUUACAGUUGGGAGGUCAUUACAACAUGAGGCACUGUAUGAAAGGGUCGCAGCAUCCAGAAGGUUGAGAACCGCUGAUCGAGGGUCAGAGAUGAAAUAGGAGCCGGUGACUGAAUGUAACCGGAAGUUUUGUUUUCAAUAACUAAAUCUGCCAUGCUUUGACUCGUUAGGGAAGAUGAGACUGCUGCACAUGUUUUUUUUUCUGCCUCUUUUUGCCUCUACAUCACAUUAAAAAGGAGGGUCUGGAAGACAAGAGCCACCUACUCCUUUGUAGUAUGUCCUGGAGAAACCAAGGAAGGUGGUGUCUCCAGGCACUGGAGAACAGAGCCGGAUACCUGCUGCAGAUAUUCUGUCAGUUCCCGUCCAGGAGGCCCUCGGAGUUCCGAAGCAGUCUAGACUCUAUGGAGGGUUAUGUGCCUGCAUUCACAGCUGAGCACAUUUGAGCCUCCUGACUCUUAGAAUGGGACUAGAGGUGGGAACUCAUAAACCACCAAUCUGGAAUUGUGGAAGAAUUGCAUCUGGGAUUAGACAUAGAUCUGCACCCAAGACCAGGCACACUGAGCCUCUAAGCCUCUGCAACAUGCAAAGAGAAUGGGGUCUACAGACAGACUCAGAGGGAGAACAAGCCACAUCUUCAAUCUUCAAGCUUUAUUACUGAAGAAAGACACUUGUCCUUCCUUCCUGGACUAGCAGCUGUCUCCUUGAGUCAAGGCGAGCUACCAGAUUAAGCUUUCCAGUAUAGACACAGAGGAAACCUUCCAUAGCCAUUCCUCCCGUCUCCACCUGUCUGCCCCUCCCUGCCAGCCAGACUCUUCCUUCACCAGAGCUUUACUGCCCUUGGUGUUCUGGGCUUUCCUCUAGCUGCAUGACCCUUUAAUCAUGAUCUUCCAGUAGCAAUGGCUUCAUAAAUGCACAGAUGAAACUCAGUGCAUGAGAGUGUGGGCUUAGAGAACCCAGGUGUGAGUGUGUGUGUGUGUGUGUGUAUUGGGGUUAGGGUUGGGGUUGCGGGUGCAGGGGUAAAUGUCAGGGGUUGGAUUAAAAGAGAAUAGCUAGGCACAGGGGAGAAGGGCAUUUAGAAAUGGCUCUUACACAUAAAACAGCCUAAGAAAUAACCAGAGCCUACUCUAAGAGAUCUACAUCCACCUAGCCAUAAUAAAUGAAGCUGGAGAACAAUAACUUCAGCCAUGCUCACUAGUAGUAGCAAUGACUCCAUGGCUGAAGACUUGGUGUACUUUUUUUUAUUUUAUUUUACAGAGCCUAGGAAGCAGAGACGCCUUCCCCUGUGGCUAUAUAAAUGAUGGAGUCCCCCCUCCCUGACUCCCACAUGGGGAGUCAUGAACAUUUUAGAAACACAACUUUGUAGAUCAAGUUGCCUGGCAGAGCCACCCUUCCAAAGAAGGACAGCCAAGUGUCAGUCUGAAGUUAGCCAAAAGAACAUUGGCAGCCUACCUACCCAGGAUGCCUGGGGAUCCUCUGUGUCCCACCUGAGGGUUGGCACACCUUGAGAAAGAGAAUUCUUGGCUGAGUCGUGUUGGGGCACUCUUAGAAAUCUCUAGGCUUCAAACCAAGAUUGCAUGUUUUGAACUUGAUCAUAUGUUCCUGUGUGGUCCCAAGUCUUCUGUUGGUCUAAUGUGACCAUCUAUACAUGUUUUAUCCAAAAGGUUCAAGAACCAGAUCUGAAAUGGACACCUAGUAGCUUAUCACAGCAAGGAGCUACCUGGAGCAGGUGAGGCAGCAAUGCCAGAAGCCCAAGAUAGACGGGGGAAGCCGAGCAUGGGAUUUGAGGCAAUUCUGAGGCACAAGGGUGGUAAACAUCGCCCAAGAGGCAGAUACCAAAGUCUGACUUCAAGAGCUGGCCCCGGGGAGUCCUGAUGUCAUAGGGUGGCUGCUCCUUGCGAUGCCUACCCUGUACACAUCCUGACUGCCAAAGGUUUGGUUUUAUAUAAACCUUCAGGUGUAUCUUGAUCUUGGCAGAAAAGGUAUAUCUACAGUAUGACCUUUUUGCAGCCCAAGCUUGUCCCCUCCACAUUAGAACAGGCAUUCCUUCACAGCGUGAUGGCAGCUGUGAACACUGCAUUGCUUUCUGUAUCAGGUGACCUUAGAGAAGAAACGCAGACCAGUCCAGGCGAGGUUUAGUCUUGGGAGCCAUUGUUACUAACAGAACAAGCCCAGUAAACACGAACCCAUGCUUCAGGGUAUACAUGUGUGUGGUAUCUGCACACUGCUGAGUGAGUGUUCAGGACAAAAAAAUGGUUUAGGACGUAAGAGGCAGAUUGUGGUGUGGUGUGGCUUACAGGGGUCAGCCCAGGGUGCUAGGACAGAUUUCUUGGGCCAUGUGUGGAAUUCAAAAGGAGUCAUUUAGAAACAGUGUCUUUUGUAAGUACCAGCUUCUGGAAGCAGGGAGGUGGCCCACCUAUCCCCUCCUGGAAACUGUUUUAGACUGCGGUGCUGGAAUCCUUCAGAGGAAAGAGCCAUAAUCCUGAUAUAGAAUUAUAUGUAUUUUGGUGAGGGAAAUUUGAUAUACAAAAAUAUUUAUGCCUAUGCUUAAAAGAGGCAGGGUUAAGAUAAUGAGUAAGAAAACUUUUCAAGGUACUGUUUGAAAGAAACCACUUGGGAGAUAGCCCAGCACUUCAGCCUUCUGGGCUCUGUUAUCUCCUUAAUUCCCUGCAUUCGUGUUCUAUAGCUUAUCUGUGAAUUUGGUUAACACAUUCCCCAGCCGCUCAAUUGGAUAAGAUAAGGCAGAAGAUGUUAAUAGAGAACCCUCCAUCUUUCCCCACUGAGAGCGAUUUCAGGAUUCAUUGACUUGCUAAACCCUGUCUUCCCCUGUCUCAAAUUUGGCUUAUCAGUGCAGAAGGUAAUCUUCCACCAGGGGUCCAGUGACUGCCCACAAAGGGCGUGCCGUGGACAGCCUGUGGUCUCCAGGGACUUGCAGAGAGAGGGACCACUUGGGUACCGAGGGCUUGUCAGACAUUUGCUGUUCUGUUUGACCCUCACUAUCUGGCUCUAAGGACCCAGGUCAGAGAGUGGGUAUGUUUUCUACUCACCUCGGCCUGUGCUGUAAUGUUGAAGCUUAUCACUGUACGCAGCCUCUUUGCUGUAAGCUCGUUUCCUGCAGACACAGAGAACAGGGACUUUCUCAGCAGGGUCAUAUCAAGGGCUCACGCCCAGACAUAGAGCUCACCCUGGGUGUCUCCUGGGACUGGGAACUGGGAGACACCCCACUUGAAGAUUUCAUCUCUGCCUUGCCUUAUACUCUGCUUGACCAGCACACAUUCCCUUGGGCAGAGGAUUCAACUCUCAAAUCAAGGACUUACGGGUACCAGAAAAGGCUGUGGGCAUCUGGCAAGAGGGCAGUGGUGAUGAGGACCCCCAUCUGGAGCAGUGAACGGCAGAACUGCUUAGUGAGAACCAGCAACAGGGCUUUGCCCGUGAUAUCUGGGCUAACCACCCAAGGCAGCAGCAAACAGUAUUAAAAAUUCACAAGGCCUCAGGCCAGUCGGUGUGCAGAGCUCAGCUUCCCCUGCCUCUUCCUCACCCCCUCUUCUGCCCGCCUGCCUUUUGCCUGCUGCCCAGGGCCUGAGCUCUCUAAGCAGAAGACUGCCCGUGCACAGCUGAGAUGCUCCAGUGGGUCAAAUGCAAUUUUGUAACUGUCACUCUGAAAAGUCCUUGUGCAUGAGGGGCUAAAAGUCCUGGCUGAAAUGAGGAUGGCAGACGGACGCUGCUUACUUAUAGUCUUGCCCAGUUCCCAUAACCAGGUUUUAUCCUAGGCACAGAGAAAAAUCAAUAAUCUUGAGAUUUCUAGGUUGCUGGCUACAGGACUUGUCCAGGCUGCCCAGUUUGGGAAGGGCCAGCGUGGGAUAACGGUGCGUGGAGAGGGGCUUCCUGGACUCAGGGAGAGCAGAGUAGAGGACCUACCUGCUGCAGACAAUAGAGAUGGCCACCAGAGACACAACAAAUACGACUCCAGCUGCUGCCGAGCCAGCAAUCAGGGGUAGCUGCUCUCUCAGCUCCGACUUGUAAUCAUCUAGGUGAGAAAGAAGAGGAUUAGAGUCCUCCCACGUGCCCCGUGCACGAGCUGGACUCGAUGCACAACACCAAGGACACCAGAUAUAUGCAUCCGCGUGGACCCCAGCUUCCAAUGCUUCAGAGUGGGGAACAGUCACAGAAACAAAACAUCAGGCAUAACUCUGGGAGCUCAUGAUGGUGACUAUCGUCUCCCUGGAGAUGGUGACUCUGAACCUUCACCCCCCCCCCCCAGCUCUGAAGGUUUCCCCAAGUCCUGUCUGCCCUGUUAAGAGUAAGUCCGAUGGAGGGGAAAUGAAAGCCGUUGCUGAAAGAGCUUAAGCUGUGGAAAUGCAGCUUGUCAACAGACUCAUUGAGCAGAUUUUUACAGUUUAUCUGUAGUCAGCCAGCUCUGCAGCAGGAGCUGUGGAGGAUGAAGAGAUGCCAGAGAAAUCGCCAAGCAUUUCGAGAUCCCACUUGACAAGUAAAGGACUGAGGUUUGUGCCAAGUGUUAAAACCAUGCUGCAUUACGGGUAGGGUGGAACACCCAAGGGUCACAGAGGUGGACAGAGAUGCCACAAUCUCUGGUGUUGCUGGUGUACCGUUUGUGAUCUUGGAGGAAUUAUUUCACCCUUCUGAUUCUCAGCCCUCUUGCCCGUUAAUAAAAGGCCAAACCAUGCGAA